CGAGCGAAGAGGUGGAUAGCUUGCUCCCUGAUCUUAGCGCGGGACGGGUGAGAAACACGCGGGCGACCUGCCCUGGAGACGGGGGAAACUCCGGGAAACCGGAGAUUAUACCGGCAUAAUACCCCGCACCGCAUGGGGCGGUGUCUAAUGUUGGCUUUCUGAGCUAACAAUGAACGAUGGGCCCACGGCGCAUUAGCUGAUUGGUAAGGUCAUGGCUUACACAAGCUCCAAUGCGUAUCCGACCUGGAAGGGUGAUCGUGGACCUUGGACCUGACCCACACUCCUAACUCCUGCGGGAGGGAGCAAUAUUGAAUCUUCCGCAAUGCACUAAAGUCUGACUGACCCACGCCUCAUGAAUGACUAAGGCCUUCGGGUCACUUUCCUCUGUUGUUAAGGAAGAACGUUUACCGCUCGAUUAGGGCGGUACCUUGACGGUACCAAACCCCAAAUCCCUCGCUAACUACGUGCCCGCAGCCGCGGUAGUACCUAGGUGGCAUCCGAAUUCCUGAAUUAUUGGGCGUAAAGCGCGCGCAGGCGGUCUUUUUAUUCUGAUGUGAAACCCCACGGCUCAAUUGCACAUGGUCAUUGGAAACUGGAGGACUUGAGAGCAUAAGAGGAGAGUGGAAUUCCACGUGUAAAUGCUGAAAUGCGUAGAUAUGUGUAGGAACACCAGUGGCGAACGCUGGCUCUCUGGUCUGUAACUGACGCUGAAGCGCGAAAGCGUGACGAGCAUACAUGAUCAGAUACCCUGCUACUCCACGCAUAAACGAUAGAGUGCUAGGUGUUGGGAGUCUUCACCCUCCAUGCUGAAGUUAACACUUUACGCACUGCGCCUUGCGGAGUACGAGCUCAAAGCUUGAAACGUCAUAGAAAGUGGACCCGAGCGCGCCCANUUUNAUCUAAAAAAUUGNGGGGCCCCCCCCCACACGGGGGGAAUGGUUUUUUUUAAGAACCGGAAAACCUUNCCAGUUUUNAAACUUCUAAAAACCCGGGGAGAGGGNUUUUUCCNUUCGGGGACCUAAGGACAGGGGGGGCAAGGUUUUUUUCCACCUCGGUUUGGAAAAAUUNGGUUAAGUCCCGCAACGAGGCCAACCCUUUCUUUUUUUUCCCACCCGUUAAGUUGGGCACUUUUAAGGGGGCUUCCGGGGGCCAACCGGAAGGAGGGGGGGANGGAGUCCAAUUCUCCAGCCCCCUAUGGCGUGGGGUUCCCCCCGGGUACCAUGGACGGUACAAAGGGCAGCCACACCGCGAGGGGAAACAAAUUCCAUAAAACCCUUUUCAGUUCGGAAUGCAGGUUGCAACUUGCCUUCAUGAAACUGGAAAUCGUAGUAAUUG
rnacentral:rRNA from 1 species